rnacentral:lncRNA from 1 species
AGCCGCUGGGCUGUGCGGACAGGUUCGCGUGGGGCUCCUGGGCCUCCCGCAGCCGCGGGUUGCUGUUGCCACAUGGCGACUGUGGUCACCGUCUCUCCUGGACCUGCCUAGAUCCAAAAGCCAGCCCUGGAAGGAACACCUCUCAUUCUCAAGAAGAAGUUAAUGUCUGCCUUACAGUAGAUGUCCAAUAAAUCUUCUUUGAACAAUUAAACA